CCUACGGGAGGCUGCAGUAGGGAAUAUUGCUCAAUGGGGGAAACCCUGAAGCAGCAACGCCGCGUGGAGGAUGAAGGUUUUCGGAUUGUAAACUCCUUUUGUUAGAGAAGAUAAUGACGGUAUCUAACGAAUAAGCACCGGCUAACUCCGUGCCAGCAGCCGCGGUAAUACGGAGGGUGCAAGCGUUACUCGGAAUCACUGGGCGUAAAGGGCGCGUAGGCGGGUUAGCAAGUCAGAUGUGAAAUCCUAUGGCUUAACCAUAGAACUGCAUUUGAAACUGUCAUUCUUGAGUAUAGGAGAGGUAGGUGGAAUUCUUGGUGUAGGGGUAAAAUCCGUAGAGAUCAAGAGGAAUACUCAUUGCGAAGGCGACCUGCUAGACCAUAACUGACGCUGAUGCGCGAAAGCGUGGGGAGCAAACAGGAUUAGAUACCCCUGUAGUC
rnacentral:rRNA from 1 species